AGAACUUUCCAGAGAUGGAUUGGUGCCUUCGGGAACUCUGAGACAGGUGCUGCAUGGCUGUCGUCAGCUCGUGUUGUGAAAUGUUGGGUUUAAGUCCCGCAACGAGCGCAACCCUUAUCCUUUGUUGCCAGCGGUUAGGCCGGGAACUCGAAGGAGACUGCCAGUGAUAAACUGGAGGAAGGUGGGGAUGACGUCAAGUCAUCAUGGCCCUUACGAGUAGGGCUACACACGUGCUACAAUGGCGCAUACAAAGAGAAGCGACCUCGCGAGAGCAAGCGGACCUCAUAAAGUGCGUCGUAGUCCGGAUUGGAGUCUGCAACUCGACUCCAUGAAGUCGGAAUCGCUAGUAAUCGUGGAUCAGAAUGCCACGGUGAAUACGUUCCCGGGCCUUGUACACACCGCCCGUCACACCAUGGGGAGUGGGUUGCAAAAGAAGUAGGUAGCUUAACCUUCGGGAGGGCGCUUACCACUUUGUGAUUCAUGACUGGGGUGAAGUCGUAACAAGGUAGGCGUAGUGCU
rnacentral:rRNA from 1 species